UCGUCCGGCGGCUCCAUGGCGGGCGCGGCUGGGAACUUUUCGCGGGCGGCCAAGAGGCUUUCGGUGGAGGGAAACAUCGCGGCGGGCAAGUCGACCUUCGUGGGGCUGCUGCGCAAAGCCUUCCCCGCAUGGCGCCUGACGCCCGAGCCGGUGGCCAAGUGGCAGGAGGUCCGAGCCGCCGCCGCCCGCCAGGCCUGCCCUUCCCCAGUCUUCGGGAACCUGCUUGAGAUGGUCUACCGAAAGCCAGCCCGCUGGUCCUACACCUUCCAGACCUACUCGUGCCUGAGCCGGCUCAAGGUGCAGCUGGCCGACCAAAGCCCACGGAGCCCGGAAGCGGUGCUGGUGUUUGAAAGAUCCGUCUACAGCGACAGGUAUAUCUUUGCAAAAAAUCUCUUUGAGAUUGGCCACAUGACUGAGAUUGAGUGGAUCAUUUACCAAGAUUGGCACACCUUCCUCCUGCAAACCUUUGGAGAACAACUUGCCCUCCAUGGCUUCCUUUAUCUCCGGGCCCCUCCAGAGGUCUGCUUUGAGAGGCUGCGCUGCCGAUCCAGGCCCGAAGAAAAGGAGGUUCAGCUAUCUUACCUGGAGCAGCUUCAUGUCCAGCAUGAAAACUGGCUUGCGGAAAAGACUACUCUGAUCCAUUCUGAAGCUUUAAGAGAUGUGCCUGUCUUGAUUCUGGAUGUCACAAAGGAUUUUGAGAAUGAUCCAAAUGAACAAAGGAAGCUUGUAGGCCAGGUGAAAACUUUUAUGAAAACUCUUUGUUCUGAUUCUUUGCCUUCCAUCUCUACAACCGUCUGCAAGUGAAGGGAGUUGGAUUCUGCAUACUGCAACUAAGAGCUGCUUGCUUAAUGCUAAGGAAGCAAUGGGAAUGGAGGGCUCUGGGGAGAGAUCACCAGCUGUGCUGUCUUGGAAUCGCCUCUUUCUUCUUUCCUGAUCUGAUUUUGUAAGCUGCUACAAUCUUCAAUACAAUCUGGCCUAUGUCUGUCUCCACUGAAUUCACUGCAGCUUAUUCCCAGGCCAUGCAGACUUCUUGUUUGGUUUUCAUCAGAAGUGACAGCUGGGCAAUUAUUUUCCCUGUGUAUCCUGACAAAACACUACACAUCUUGAAGUUCCUUUUGACUCAAUCUUUGGCUUUUGCUACACCCGGCAGUUGCUUUCUGAUCUAAAUAUUUGCUGAUAUUUAGUUCCACUAUGUGGCUCUCCAGAUAUGCUGGCGUACAUUAGAUAGAACCUUUAUAGAUUCUUCUUCUGUUGCUUGCUGUACUUUUGUAGAUACAGUGUAAAAUUCCUGUAGUUUUUCAACCACACACCCCAUUGGCCUGAGUGCCUACUGCUUGUGCAAAUGGGGCUGCCCCUGCUGCUCACACAGGACCAUUUCCUCUCCCUCCCCCCGCCACCAGUCCACCAAGCCAGAAAGCUUGGGGCCACUAGUUUAAGGUGCCACCUGACUCCAAAUGGCCUUUGGGCAUUGCCCUCAACAUAGCAAAAAAAAAAAAAAGAUAAAAGCACAACACAAAAUAUGUAAGAUGGAAUCCAGCCACUCAUUACAAAAUAUAUACAAACCCAUCUAUCAUCUAGCACUAUACUGUCAAUCAAUUGUCAGUCCCCAUGGUUUUGUUAGUAAAAAUACAGGUUU